GAAAUACUCCCUCCGUCCCAAAAUUCUUGUCUUAGAUUUGUCUAAAUACGGAUGUAUCAAGUCAUGUUUUAGUAUUAGGUACAUCCGUAUCUAGACAAAACAAAGACAAGAAUUUUGAGACGGAGGGAGUACUUG
rnacentral:pre_miRNA from 1 species